rnacentral:piRNA from 1 species
AGACAUCGCAGGAGUCUACGAUUGUACU